GUUCGCGCUCCACCACCUGGCCUCGCUCAAUAACGACACGUGAAGGCAAGAACUAUAGUAUGUGUGUGGUUUUCUAUAUUCUCAAAUCACUAAUCUUUCCCCUAUUCAAGCUCCAGGAGACCCCGAUGGCUGACUGCCAUCCUCACUUGUUUAGCACUCAAGCAGACGCUUUGCUUAUGUGAAAGGGGUGCAGAGUCACUUUGGCCAAGACGGUUGAUGUCCAUGAUGGCCACCAGGUUGUCGAGCUGAUAGUAGGAGGCGAACAUCAUGGCCUCCCAGACAGCACCCUCCGACAUCUCCCCAUCCCCCAGCAGGCAGUACACACGGUAACUGAGGAGAAGAACACACAAGACUGCACAAUAAAAACCCUCUCCAGUGGACCUCGAGGGUCAAGAUACACAGACAUGCCUGGAUGUCACUGAGACCUUAUUCUAAAUUACCUGCAGGCUAAAAAAGGAUAUAAUACCCUACUGUAAAAUUCAGACUGUU